CCCUACGGGGUGCUCAAUGAUGUUUCAGAGGAACUGAUUCAAAAGAAUAAUUGGGUGAAGCUGCAAAGCUGCUGCCGGGAUAAGGAUGAAUAUCUCACCCGGCCUGAUUUGGGCAGAAGGCUUGCGGAAGAGAGCUCUGAAGUUUUAAAAUCCGCCUGCAAACAAGGUGCGGAUUUACAAAUCAUUAUUUCCGACGGUUUAUCAAGUAAGGCGGUGGAAGCGAAUAUUCCCGAUUUUCUUCCUGCUUUUCUGCAGGGGUUAAAGGGCCUAAGCAUCAACAUCGAGACAACCGUCUUUGUCAAAUAUGGCCGGGUUGCCGUGAUGGAUGUGAUCGGCGAUGCAUUAAAACCAAAAGCGGCCAUUAUCUUGUUGGGAGAACGGCCCGGUUUGGGUACCGCAGAGAGC
rnacentral:rRNA from 1 species